rnacentral:lncRNA from 1 species
AUCCUGCAAAUAUUUAACCAUGAGGCUUCCAUGAAAGACAAAAGUCAUCUUUCAUUGCAAGCCCAAGAAAUCAAAAUAAACAGUCUCUAGUGAGCUCUUCCAUGAAAAAUAAUCACCUCUUUUAACCAGACAAUGUAAUUGGGGUAAAUCUUUUGGUCAUCAAGUUAGAUGCAACUAGACCAACCAAAUGUUUGGGGAAUGUUUUUAAGGGAAUCAUAACAACAACACAUACCUGGUGUAGUCCCAUAAAGUGGGGUCUAGGGUAGGAUAGAGUGUACGACGGGACUUUCAAUUAAAAAGGACAAACAAGUUGUCCAAUUAAGUGAAAGUCCUCCAAGUUUUUUAAAUUAGGUGGGAGGGACAAAAGUUUUUUGAGUUUUUUUUUUUUAAGUUUUUCCGUUCCAACAACUUGACCCAGUUGUAGAACAACUUUGGUAGUUGUUCAACAACUAGGCGCAGUUGUCGAACAACUACCAAAAUUGUUCAACAACUGCGCAAGCUUUUCAACAACUUCGCCCAGUUGUUCGACAACUGCGCCUAGUUGUUCGACAACUAGGCGUAGUUGUUCGACAACUGAGAGAAGUUGUUCGACAACUGCGCGAAGUUGUUCAGACAACUAAUGUAGUUGUCCAACAACUAUCUCAGUUCUUUUUUCAAUUGGAAAUUUGGAAGGCCCUUCUGGCUUAUUUUUCUCAUGUACGACUGUACGCAGACCUUACUCCUACUUCAGAGGUAGAAAGGUUGUUGUGAUAGAUGCCGACUAAAGGAAAAACAAUCCAUAAAUGAAAAAGAAGUAACGGAAGCACAAGAGAAAUAAUUCAAUAAUAACAAAAACAAAAUAUGGCAACAGAACAGAAACUACAACAAAAACAAUAACAAAAACCAAGGUACAAGGAAUCAGGAUCAUAAAGCGUAUGCUACAAAUUGCUACAGGCAAAAAUCAUUAGUUCCCUCCAUGAAUCAUCCAAAUAAGGAACAAAUAAAAAAUCACAGAGCAUUAUGCCAAUGCCCACCAACAAACCGAGGCAGAUUCCAAAUAUAGAGAUGAUGGGUGAAGCCUAAUAUCUAUGUACAUUUUGAAACAAUUUUGGAAUAUGGCAUUUGAAGGGCUAGAUCCUCCUCUGCCUUCAGAUCACAAAACUCCACCAAAAAACAAGAAUUCAAGACGGUAAGGAAAAGUAAGAAGUCAACUGAUCACUCAAGAAAAGAGCAAAAGCAAAUGUAAGAUCAAUCCAAUGACAUACACACACAAACAACAAUAGGGGAUCUGAAUAUAUUACAAAGAUUCAAA